UGAGGAAUAUUGGUCAAUGGGCGAAAGCCUGAACCAGCCAUGCCGCGUGGAGGAUGAAGGCCCUCUGGGUUGUAAACUUCUUUUAUCAGGGAAGAAAAGUACUAUUUCUAUGGUAUCCGACGGUACCUGACGAAUAAGCACCGGCUAACUCCGUGCCAGCAGCCGCGGUAAUACGGAGGGUGCAAGCGUUAUCCGGAUUUACUGGGUUUAAAGGGUGUGUAGGCGGACUUUUAAGUCAGAGGUGAAAUCUCCGGGCUCAACCCGGAAACUGCCCCUGAUACUAUUGGUCUUGAAUAUCGUUGAGGUAGGCGGAAUACAUCAUGUAGCGGUGAAAUGCUUAGAUAUGAUGUAGAACACCGAUUGCGAAGGCAGCUUACUAAACGAUUAUUGACGCUGAGGC
rnacentral:rRNA from 1 species